CCUACGGGGGGCAGCAGUGGGGAAUAUUGCACAAUGGGGGAAAGCCUGAUGCAGCGACGCCGCGUGAGUGAAGAAGGAUUUCGGUAUGUAAAGCUCUGUCAGCAGGGAAGAAAAUGACGGUACCUGACCAAGAAGCCCCGGCUAACUACGUGCCAGCAGCCGCGGUAAUACGUAGGUGGCAAGCGUUAUCCGGAUUUACUGGGGGUAAAGGGCGGGUAGACGGGAGGGUAAGUCUGGAGUGAAAGGCAUGGGCUCAACCCCCAGUCUGCUCUGGAAACUGCCAGGCUGGAGUGUAGGAGAGGUAAGUGGAAUUCCUAGUGUAGCGGUGAAAUGCGUAGAUAUUAGGAGGAACACCAGUGGCGAAGGCGGCUUACUGGACUGUAACUGACGUUGAGGCGCGAAAGCGUGGGGAGCAAACAGGAUUAGAUACCCGGGUGGUC
rnacentral:rRNA from 1 species